GCCUCAGCUGAAUUGAGGUGGCUUUGAGGUCAUCCAAUUUCUAGACGUGUGCGAUCACCUGGUCCUGAAAGCCCUCCACACAGAAUGGUUUGCAAUUUUUUUUGGUGAUGGCAUGUUCAGAAUCUUGGAUCCCUAAAUUGAAUGUUGGAAAUAUGUAGGAGCCUUGGAAAUGAUCUUGUUUUCAUAUGUUAAUGCCUUGUCUGAGCUCCUUAGAUCACAGGGAUCAUUAAUCAGGAGUUUUGAAGAGAAGAAAAAGCAUCAAGUGACAAUCUUAAGUGCAAUAACUACAGAAUUUCUACCUGGAAGUCAUCUCACAAGGUUGCAUUCUGCUGAGAACAGGAGCUACGCAUCACCUUACUGAGAGACUCACUCCUGAUGUAUUUCCAUCCUCCUUCCUGAAGAGAAAGCGGCAUUUUAAGCAUAGGGGCCUUGGCUGUCUAAGGAUUGUCUUUAGAAAGUCCACAGCACUGUAUUCUCAACGUGGCCUCUCAGUGUGCUGGUCACUGCCGUUGUGGUUUCCAAGGAAACCUUCUCCAGCUGCCAUGCACUGAAGCCUGAGAAGCCUAGUGUGCCUCAGGCAUGGGAAGACCCAGAGCUGACGCAUGAGUAUGGAAGCUUGCUAGGACCUGAAGAGAGCUAGAGACGCUCCUGCGUUUCCCCUAGGUGGCUAAAAAACCUGUUACAUAGAGAAAGUGUCUGUCAGCAAGACUUGUCCAGACCAUAGACCAACUUUUUAAGCCCGCAUGAGUCCCCAUUGGACCUACGCAGACUAUCUGGGUGCAUGUUUGUACCAUCAUUUAAUCUUUUGAAAACUUGGUUAUACUGACAUAGAAGUUUUUUACACAUAAAUUUCAGAAGCAAUACAGAUGUGUGUUAUGGAAAGGCUAUAUACUCUGCUUGUAAUAAAUUUCUGACUCUUGCAUAAUAAAAAUUAAAUGGUCCAAUUAUGGAAAACCCAA